rnacentral:tRNA from 1 species
GCCCGGAUAGCUCAGUCGGUAGAGCAUCAGACUUUUAAUCUGAGGGUUCAAGUCCCUGUUCGGGCA